rnacentral:lncRNA from 1 species
CUGCGCCGCGCCUGCCUGACAGUUCCCGUGUGGAGCCUCCCCAGCAUUCAAGGAGAACCCGCGAGAACUGCGCCGCGCCUGCUCGAGAGUUCCCGUGUGGAGUCUCCCCAGCAGCCAUCAGCACGGCAGCCAUCAGCAGAGCAUGCAGCUUUAACUUGUGCCUAUUAACUGAUGUCUGCACGUGGUGAAGGAAGAAAUUCACAUGGUUCAGAAGGGCCCUCAGUGAAAUCACAGGCCUUCUCACUCCACUGAGGUAACCACUGGCCAUAGCUUCUGGCUCCGGUUCUUCUCUGUUCUCUGCCCCUGCCCUGUCUUCCAUUCCAAGCCCACGGCCCGGGAGCACAGUGAGUGAGCAGGUCCCUCUUCCUUGCCUGUCCCAUCCUCAUGGAGAGCACACAUCAGUCAGCAGGAGCUCCAUGCAGUGCUUAGCUAGUCACAGCUGCCCUGGGAAACAAUUACAGGUAAAACAAUAAUUUGCUUAUAGUUUUUAGUGAAAUGUAUACUUCUGUGAUUAAUAAAUAGAAAAUAUGAAGGUCAAAUGCAGUAAACUCUUGUGGUUUGGAACACCAUAUUUUCUCUUGGGAGAGAAGGAAAUUAAGAACAUUUUUUUUCCUCUAAUUACACAACAGUAAAAAAUUGAUCCCUUUGUGGUAGUGAGGAUUGGUGGGGAGGGCAGCGGGGAAGGCAGGCUUUGAGAAUUUUAAAGCAUAAAAGAUGACAUUCCUUUAAAGGAUUGCCACUUUUUAUCACGUGAUAACUUAAAACAUAGAAUUUGGAAUUCAUACAAUAACAAAACUAUGUUAGGUGCGCCUAGAUCAGCUCACAGGUUCUGGUAGUGUUACACUCCGGUUCUCUAGAAGUGCUGCAUGAAGAAUCCAAGCUAGAUAUAAAUUUACUCAUUUAACUUUAUUUUAAAGAACACCAGGGUGAGGUUUUCUACUUUGAACACGAACCAGGUUAACUUGGAGUAUGAGGCUCUAAGGAUCCCAACUAGUUGAUGACAUUUUUAACAUAUUUUCAACUGAAAUGAUGAAGAAUCACUUAUUACAUCUGAAAUC